UGCCAGCCGCCGCGGUAACACGGGGGGCGCAAGCGUUAUUCGGAAUUAUUGGGCGUAAAGGGCGCGUAGGCGGUCUUGUCCGUCAGGUGUGAAAGCUCGGGGCUCAACCCCGGAAGUGCACUUGAAACAGCAAGACUUGAGUACGGGAGAGGAUGGCGGAAUUCCCAGUGUAGAGGUGAAAUUCGUAGAUAUUGGGAAGAACACCGGUUGCGAAGGCGGCCAUCUGGCCCGUUACUGACGCUGAGGCGCGAAAGCGUGGGGAGCAAACAGGAUUAGAUA
rnacentral:rRNA from 1 species